CUUUGCUUGGCACUUCCGCUUCCUGCCGCCCUGUGAAGAGGGUGCCUUUCUUUCCCUUCGCCUUCUACCAGGAUUGUUAAGUUUCCUGAAGCCUUCCCAGCCACGUGGAACUGUACUAAGACAUUUGAGAGAUGAGAGAAAGCAAAGGAAAAAACAACCAAAGGAAUACAUACUUGUUAAAAUCUACUUGAGUUCUAUUGAAGAGCUGUUGUUUCAGAAACUGCACUGGAGAAGAUAUUUAUUGCCAUCAUAAAUGGAAUCUUCCAUCAUAUCUUCUAACUAGUUGUUGCUUGAUGGACAUGCGUCUUGUGACUAUGAGGUGACAAUGAUGUUAAUGACAUCUGAGUGGAAAGAAGAUGAAGCCUAGAUUCCUGAACACAUUCAGACCUGCCACAGCAACCUAGCUCUGAACUCCCUUCAAGUAAGACAAAAUUUCACUCUUGUGGCCCAGGCUGGAGUGCAAUGGCGUGAUCUCAGCUCACUGCAACUUCUACCUCUCGGAUUCAAGUGAUUCUCCUGCCUCAGCCUCCCAGGUAGCUGGGUUUACAGGAAUGAAAUGGACGUUCUUACUCAUCAUACCAUAAGCAUCCAGGUGAAUGAUUGCUCACUUCUUUCAUCUAAUGAGGAAUUGGCUUUCUUGAGAAUCUCAAUGCAGUGUACCUCCAACCUUAACAGACUGCUGUAAAACACCCUGACCAUUCUUUAGUAUAAGCACUGAAGAAGACAGUAUGUUGACCACGAGGCACCUGGCCUGGCUCAUAGUAUGCCAUCAAGAAAUGCUAAUUUUCUAUUUCCUCUUUUUCAAAGAGUUAUUUCAAGAAAGAAAGGAGAGGAGAGGAUGUUACAAAUUCCAUGUAAAUAAAAUUUGUCACUAAUUCUGUGAACUAAUUGAUAUCAUAAUUUGAUUCUCUUACCUCUUUUUAAUCUCUCUAUUAGUCCAUUUUUAUGCUGUGAAUAAAGACAUACCUGAGACUGGGCAAUUUACAAAAGAA
rnacentral:lncRNA from 1 species